rnacentral:sRNA from 1 species
UCGCUUUAUAUUUAGUUUCCUUAUUUGUUUCAUUUCUCGCUUAUAUAAACUGCCUCUUAGGGUUUUCCCUAGGGCAUCCGUUAUUAUCUCGCUUUUACAUUUUUGUAACUUUGAGAGCCGCAGUGUUUCUCCUGCGACUUUGUAUUUUCACUUUCAAGUAUUUGAUAUUCAGUUUUUGUCUAAGUCUUUCAUCAUUUCUGUUAUCAUGUUUUCAAUCGUUGCUUUGAUAUUGUCUUUGAUUAUGUCUGAGUAGUGAACUGUAUUUCUGAGGAUGAGAUAGAAUAGUUGUGGUUUACUUGGUCAUUUUAGGUGGUUGAGUUUAGAAUACUAGAAUCCCUUCUGGAUUAGUUGCGCUUAUUGCUUGUUUCACUGGCUAAUGUGGAAUAUGAGUCCAGACGUCAGCGCUCAGAAGGCGUUUAAUGGGCGUUGGAUCCUAUUAAUUCCAGAGAUAUAUGACUCUACCCCAAGGGAUUGGCUGUAGAGAGGGUAUUGGGUUUAACAUGUUGAUUCGAUAUUGCUUGCUUAGUUAGAGAUCGCUAAAGGGAUUUAGGUCAGUGUCUAGCUUUGUUUGAGGAUUUCUAUCACGGAAGUGAAUUAAUCUGUUGUUAAACUUCUUGUCUAGGGAUAGUUUCUGUGAAGUUUUGUCAACCGCCUGAAUAGAUUAAGGAGACCACACUAUUCGAUUACCCCAUCCUUAGGAAUCGUUUAUCCAUUUGAUUGCCUGUUAUCAUUUCUGCAUUGUUAUUCACAUGCCUGCUAUUGCCAUUUCUGCUUUUAGUUUCAUUUCAUUUCUGUUAUUGCAUACUAGGACUGUUAGAACCAACCAACUUUCUGCUUGGCUUGACUUAGAGCUUUCUGAUCAUAUCUCAUCUGUUUGCAUCACACCGGAUUGGAUGGACAUCCUAAAAUAUUACAACGACAAGAUAGUGUUUUAGGAUUAAUUGAGUAAAAUCCUACUAUCAAUUUGGCGUCGUUGCCAGUUUGGUGUAUGUUUGCUAUAUUUGAGAUCAUUAGAAACGUUAAGAUCAAGUUCGUUUUUGUUACACAAGUUACUAACAUUGUGCAUUUUCUGUCUUUGUGUUUCAGGUACCUUGCAACCCGCUUUCCAGACGCAUCUCUGAUUCGUCUGUUAUAGCCCGACUGCUAUCUGUUGCAUGCAUACACGGUCAUAAGGAAAUCAGAACCUCCUAUUCAACGAUAACAUCGACCGUAUUGCUCGCCAACUAAGAGAAUAAACAGAAACCAACACAAUGGCUGACGUUGUAGAUGAGCAAGAGCAACCUACCAACAUUGGUGCUGGUGACUUCCCUCACAACCACAACCAGCGUCAUGGAAUUGUUCCACCUCCAGUACAGAACAACAACUUUAAGAUCAAAAGCAGUCUCAUUGCAAUGGUUCAGGGGAACAAGUUUCAUGGCCUGCCAAUGGAGGAUCCGCUAGAUCAUCUUGACGAGUUCGAAAGGCUCUGUGACCUUACU